GAUGAACGCUGACAGAAUGCUUAACACAUGCAAGUCAACUUGAAUUUGGGUUUUUAACUUAGAUUUGGGUGGCGGACGGGUGAGUAACGCGUAAAGAACUUGCCUCACAGCUAGGGACAACAUUUAGAAAUGAAUGCUAAUACCUGAUAUUAUGAUUUUAAGGCAUCUUAGAAUUAUGAAAGCUAUAAGCACUGUGAGAGAGCUUUGCGUCCCAUUAGCUAGUUGGAGAGGUAACAGCUCACCAAGGCGAUGAUGGGUAGCCGGCCUGAGAGGGUGAACGGCCACAAGGGGACUGAGACACGGCCCUUACUCCUACGGGAGGCAGCAGUGGGGAAUAUUGGACAAUGGACCGAGAGUCUGAUCCAGCAAUUCUGUGUGCACGAUGAAGUUUUUCGGAAUGUAAAGUGCUUUCAGUUGGAAAGAAAGAAAUGACGGUACCAACAGAAGAAGUGACGGCUAAAUACGUGCCAGCAGCCGCGGUAAUACGUAUGUCACGAGCGUUAUCCGGAUUUAUUGGGCGUAAAGCGCGUCUAGGUGGUUAUGUAAGUCUGAUGUGAAAAUGCAGGGCUCAACUCUGUAUUGCGUUGGAAACUGUGUAACUAGAGUACUGGAGAGGUAAGCGGAACUACAAGUGUAGAGGUGAAAUUCGUAGAUAUUUGUAGGAAUGCCGAUGGGGAAGCCAGCUUACUGGACAGAUACUGACGCUCAAGCGCGAAAGCGUGGGUAGCAAACAGG
rnacentral:rRNA from 1 species